rnacentral:rRNA from 1 species
UACGGAGGGUGCGAGCGUUAAUCGGAAUUACUGGGCGUAAAGGGUGCGUAGGUUGUUUUUUAAGUUAUCUGUAAAAUCCCUGGGCUCAACCUGGGCAGGCCAGAUAAGACUGAAAGACUCGAGUAUGGGAGAGGGUAGUGGAAUUUCCGGUGUAGCGGUGAAAUGCGUAGAGAUCGGAAGGAACACCAGUGGCGAAGGCGGCUACCUGGCCUAAUACUGACACUGAGGCACGAAAGCGUGGGGAGCAAACAGG